ACCCCACCCCUCAAUUCCAGGGAAAGGAGGGAGGGGGAGAAAAGGGGGGAAAUUUAAAUUCCCCCCUCAUUAGCCAGAAAGGAAGCAAAAGGGGAUAAUUAUAAUUAAAAGCAGACAGCUGUGGAUUGCAUCUUUUAUGUUCCUCUGAGCCUCCUCCCCGCUUCUGCCACCAUCACCCAAAAAAACCCCGCACACCCCCUGUGCAUCUUGCCCUGGUUUCCUGCAGAGCGGAGCAGAGCGGGGUGCAAGCUAGGAGGCUGGGAUAGAUUUUAGGCAAGGCGAAUCCACUUCCUCUUUCCUGACAGCACUUUCUGAAACAUCUCAAUAGGCCGAAGAUGUGGGGGGCUUCCUCUUCCCUCUCCCGGAGAGAACCCGUACCCCCAUAGUGGGGGCCUGUGGGGGGUGGGGGCACUCAGGUGGUAACAACUCAUUCAAUAAUUUGGGAAACAUGUUUGAUCUUCUUAAAAAUACCCAUCCCGUUCACAAUGAAAUGAAUAGGAAGAAUUCCUACAACUGGAAUGUUUUCCCAGUGCUCCUCCCUUGGAAUCGCCUGCACCCACCGGGAGGACAGCGGAAGAGAGAAGCCAGGAUCCAUAAGGCAGUGUGUGUGGCAACAAAGAGAAGCUACCACAAAUGCACGCAGAUACAUACAUAUGCUGGGACUUGCUCUACCGGGUUGCUGCGUUCCCCUGCCUCUGCCUCACUGGGUAGAAUUCUGCUGGCCCCAGAGUAGCUACAGGAUUCCACAGCUCCAUUCUGAUCUUGCCUCUACCCUGCUCACAAGAAGUCUCCAGUCCCCAACUGGAUUAGGGGAGUAUUUCUGUCUGGCUCACCCCAAAGCCUUUUUUAUGUUCCUAGAGAUACCUGCAUCUGUGUUUCAAAUGUCUCCAAGUUCCUGUUUGUGAUGUUGCUAUCUCUGCCUAAAAAAAUAAAAUAAAAAGCUUUGUGCACUGGAGGCAAACUCCAAAGAAGGUAAUA